rnacentral:tRNA from 1 species
GCGAAUACUUAAUUGGUAGAGUAUUAGCCUUCCAAGCUUUACAAUCUUGGUUCAAAUCCAAGAGGUCGUA